rnacentral:rRNA from 1 species
GUCCUUUUGAUUUUAAUUUAAGGUUUAACCUGCCCACUGAUUUAUUAAAGGGCCGCAGUAAUUUGACUGUGCAAAGGUAGCAUAAUCAUUAGUUUUUUAAUUAAAAGCUUGUAUGAAAGGUUGGACGAAGUAAAUUCUGUCUCUAUUUAAUUUAAUUUAGAAUUUAAUUUUUAAGUUAAAAAGCUUAAAUUUUUUUAAAAGACGAGAAGACCCUAUAGAUUUUUAUAUUAAAUUUAAUUAAUUUAAUUUAGAAUUAUUAAUUUUUUAUUAAAUUUAUUAUUUUAUUGGGGUAAUAUAGAGAUUAAUUUAAUUCUUUUUUAAUAUUUACAUUAAUUUAUGUUUAAAUGAUCCAAUUUUAUUGAUUAUAAGAUUAAAUUACCUUAGGGAUAACAGCGUAAUUUUUUUAAAGAGUUCAUAUCGAUAAAAAAGUUUGCGACCUCGAUGUUGGAUUAAAAAUUAUCUUAGGUGCAGAAUUUUAAGAUUAUGGUCUGUUCGACCAUUAAAUUUUUACAUGAUCUGAGUUCAGACCGGUGUAAGCCAGGUCGGUUUCUAUCUUUAAUAAAUUUAAAUAUUUUAGUACGAAAGGACCAAAUAUUUAAUAUAGUAUAUUAUUAAUUUUGAAUAU